GUAGGGAAUAUUGCGCAAUGGACGAAAGUCUGACGCAGCGACGCCGCGUGAGUGAUGAAGGCCUUAGGGUCGUAAAGCUCUGUUGAAUGGGAAGAAAAAAAUGACGGUACCAUUCGAGGAAGGACCGGCUAACUUCGUACCAGCAGCCGCGGUAAUACGAGGGGUCCUAGCGUUGUUCGGAAUCAUUGGGCGUAAAGGGUGUGUAGGUGGCCAUGUAAGUCAGGUGUGAAAGCCCCGGGCUCAACCCGGGAAGUGCACUUGAUACUGCGUGGCUUGAGUACCGAAGAGGGUAGUGGAAUUCCAGGUGUAGUGGUGAAAUACGUAGAUAUCUGGAGGAACACCGGUGGCGAAGGCGGCUACCUGGUCGAGUACUGACACUGAGACACGAAAGCAUGGGGAUCAAACAGGAUUAGAAACCCCGGUAGUCC
rnacentral:rRNA from 1 species